UCUUUUAAUAUUACUCUAUUUAUUGUUAUAUCUUCUUUUUUUUGCUUUUUUUUUAUUCUAUAUUUGUAAAAUGUUUUAGUUUUUGGUGUAUUUUGGGGAUGUAUAAAAUUUGGUGUUUGAACUGGAUUAGUACCCAGGUAAUCAAAGUUUAUUAAUUCGGGAGUAAAGUUUGGUUUAAACCGAAAAAAUAUUGACUGACUUUGGAUUUUUCUUUGGAAUAUGUGAUUUUUGGAUAGUCCUCCUUAUUAGUUAAUUUUGUUGGCGCAUGUAUGAUUGUUUAGUUUUUAUUUUAUUUGUAAUGCUUAUUAUGAUUUUUUAUUUUAAAACAGAUAUAUUUGGCUUAUGGGUUGAAUUUCAUGUGUUACUAUUAUUAAUUUUUUUUUUUUUUGGAUUUUUUAUUAAUGUUUUUUUGAAAUUGGAAAAGAAAGUAAUUGAUUUUUUAUGUUUGGAUGAAUUUAAUAAACAAG
rnacentral:rRNA from 1 species